CCUUAUAUAAAAAAAAAGGACCAUAGUUUUGCUAUGUAUCCGCUCUAAGAAGUUUCUAUCUCGUGGAUAGUAAUAGUUGGAUUAACUAGCUUAUUAUAAAUAACACGUAGUCGUAACUGAAAGGUUGAUCGAUCACAAUGUGGCCUGAACAAAGCCCAUGACUUAUGUUACAGCAGUGAGGAAUAUUGGUCAAUAGCCGCAAGGCUGAACCAGCAACUUGGAGGAACGUAUGGCAAUAGCCAAUUGCAUAUAGAUGAUGCAAUAUCCUGUUUGAUUAAAGUUCAGGGUAGACUAUGAAAAUGACAUUAUCUAUCUUUGUGGUCUUGACCAAAUUACGUGCCAGCAGUCGCGGCAAGACGUUAAAGACUAGUGUUAUUCAUGUUUAUUCGGUUUAAAGAGUACCAAGACUGUUAAUAAUGCCCAUAGGGGGGACAUAUUAUCUAGAGUUAUAUGAAAGGAAGCAUUGAGGUACUGUCUGUGAAGAGUUCAAAUUCGUUAACACAGGUUACGGCACAAAUUAAUGCGAAGGCAUCUUCUUAUGUAAUAACUGACGUUGUAGGACGAAGGCUUAGUGAAGAAAAAAGGAUUAGAGACCCUUGUAUUCUAGGCAGAAAACGAUGAAUGUCAUAGGUUGAAUCUAAAUAUAAUUUUAAUUUGGUCUAUAAAUGAAAGUGUAAGCAUUCCACCUCAAGAGUAAUUUGGCAACAUUGAAACUGAAAUCAUUAGACCGUUUCUGAGAUCAGUAGUGAAGUAUGUUGUUUAAUUAGAUGAUACGCCAAAAACCUUACCACAUUUUGUAUAAUAAUAUUUUACAAGUGUUGCACGGCUGUCUUCAGUUGAUGUCGUGAGAAUUGGUUAACUCCAAUAAUUAACGUAAGCCCUUACUUUAUUUAUAGAUAAAGUAUUUCACUGUUAAAGGAUUUGCUAAGAGG
rnacentral:rRNA from 1 species